rnacentral:tRNA from 1 species
GUCUGAGUGGCGGAAUUGGUAGACGCGUGCGAUUCAGGUUCGUAUGGUGAAAACCUUGUGGGUUCAAGUCCCAUCUCGGACA